rnacentral:rRNA from 1 species
GUAGCAUAAUCAUUUGUUUUUUAAUUGAAAACUGGAAUGAAAGGUUAAACAAAGGUGAGUGUCUAAAAAUAUGAUAGUAAUUUGUAUUUAAAGUAAAAAUACUUUAAUAAUUGUAAGGGACGAUAAGACCCUAAAAGCUUUAUUUAAGUUAGGUUGUUAGAGGUAUUAAGUAAAUAAAUUUAGCUGGGGUAGCAGCUUUAACUAGCCUGCAGAUAAGUUAACUUUAAAUUAGGUCCUUUUUAUAAAGAUAGUUUGAGGUAGUUACUUUAGGGAUAACAGCGUCAUGGUUCUAGGGAGACCCUAUCUAUAGACCCGAUUGCGACCUCGAUGUUGAAUUAAAAUAUCUUUUUAGAGUAUAAACUAAUUAAGAGGGUUUGUUCAACCCUUAAAUUUUU